rnacentral:rRNA from 1 species
AUACGGAGGAUCCGAGCGUUAUCCGGAUUUAUUGGGUUUAAAGGGUGCGCAGGCGGGAUAUUAAGUCGGCGGUGAAAUUUUGCAGCUCAACUGUAAAAGUGCCUUCGAUACUGGUAUUCUUGAGUAUGGAUGAAGUAGGCGGAAUUUGUGGUGUAGCGGUGAAAUGCAUAGAUAUCACGAGGAACUCCGAUUGCGCAGGCAGCUUACUAAACCAUAACUGACGCUCAGGCACGAAGGCGUGGGGAUCAAACAGGAUUAGAUACCCUGGUAGUCCACGCAGUAAACGAUGAUUACUGGUUGUUUGCGAUACAAUGUAAGCGACUGAGCGAAAGCGUUAAGUAAUCCACCUGGGGAGUACGUUCGCAAGAAUGAAACUCAAAGGAAUUGACGGGG